rnacentral:ribozyme from 1 species
ACAAAACAACAAAAUAUGUUGCAAUCCAUUCUCUCUCUCGCUCUCUAUCUCUUAUGUUUUUAUUUUUUUUCUGUUUUUUUUUUCGUUUUUGGAGGAAGAUGAUACGUAUGCCAAGGUCUAUUGGCUAUUUGAAAAACGAUCGAGAGGUUUCUGGAAGCAUUUGCGGCUCGAGAAGAAGCUGCUACAAAUUUAAAU